UGGGGAAUAUUGCGCAAUGGGGGCAACCCUGACGCAGCAACGCCGCGUGAUUGAAGAAGGCCUUCGGGUUGUAAAGAUCUUUAAUCAGGGACGAAAAAUGACGGUACCUGAAGAAUAAGCUCCGGCUAACUACGUGCCAGCAGCCGCGGUAAUACGUAGGGAGCAAGCGUUAUCCGGAUUUACUGGGUGUAAAGGGCGCGCAGGCGGGCCGGCAAGUUGGGAGUGAAAUCCCGGGGCUUAACCCCGGAACUGCUUUCAAAACUGCUGGUCUUGAGUGAUGGAGAGGCAGGCGGAAUUCCGUGUGUAGCGGUGAAAUGCGUAGAUAUACGGAGGAACACCAGUGGCGAAGGCGGCCUGCUGGACAUUAACUGACGCUGAGGCGCGAAAGCGUGGGGAGCAAACA
rnacentral:rRNA from 1 species